rnacentral:rRNA from 1 species
AGAGUUUGAUCCUGGCUCAGAACGAACGCUGGCGGCAUGCCUAACACAUGCAAGUCGAACGCUUCACGGGUUUUGGCCUGUGGGGAGUGGCGCACGGGUGAGUAGCGCGUGGGAACCUGUCCUGUGGUGGGGGAUAACCGAGGGAAACUUCGGCUAAUACCGCAUGCGCCCCGGGUGAGAGCCUGGGGGAAAGAUUUAUC